GCCAAAAGAUAAAAACAAGCAAGAAAGCAAACAAAUAAAAGUAACAACAAAAUUUAAGAACCCCUUGCAUGGAAGGAUGCUUAUUUCCUCUGGACUGAAAGAUGGCAUCAGAAGUGGGAUCUAAAGUAAAGCUUCUAACAAUCCCCAUGAGCACUGAGUGACCAAGCAAGGUACACGCCAGGCCUGUUCUGUCUGUUGCUCUCGCAGAGCAGCUGGGGAUCGUGGAGGUUCAUGACAGGAUGAAAAGAAACCUGAGAAGCACUCUUGAAUAGAGGUUUCUGAAUAACUUUCGAAUCGUAUCAUUUGGACUGGAUAACAGUGUUGAGGCAGAGAAGUUUCAUAAUCUGCCUAAGAUCAUUGCAUUUACAAGUGACGAACCCACUGCACAAAUUUUGGCAAUGACAGAAACUUAAUCUGCAUUGGCUUCGGCAAAGCAGAAAUUUAUUGGCUUACAAGGCUGUACAGGAGACAUGGCUGGGGAGGUCUCAGGAAACUUACAAUCGUGGUGGAAAGUGAAGAGG
rnacentral:lncRNA from 1 species